rnacentral:rRNA from 1 species
CCUACGGGAGGCAGCAGUGGGGAAUAUUGCACAAUGGGCGAAAGCCUGAUGCAGCAACGCCGCGGGAAGGAAGAAGGGUUGCGGCGCGUAAACGUCUAGCAACAGGGACGAAAGAAAUGACGGUACCUGAAUAAGAAGCACCGGCUAACUACGGGCCAGCAGCCGCGGUAAUACUUAGGGGGCAAGCGUUAGCCGGAAUUAAUGGGUGUAAAGGGGGAGGAGGCGGCAUGGGAAGCCAGAUGGGAAAGCCUUGGGCUUAACCCGAGGAGUGCAUUGGGAACGAUCAAGCUAGCGUACAGGGGAGGCAAGCGGCAUUCCUCGUGUAGCGGUGACAUGC